CCUACACUGACAGAGCCAACGAGUUCUUUACCUUGGUCGGAAGAAUUGGGCAAUCUUGUUAAACUCUGUCGUGCUGGGGAUAAANCAUUGCAAUUUUUGGUUUUCAACGAAGAAUGCCUAAUAAGCGCGUGUCAUCANCAUGCGUUGAUUACCUCCCUGACCUUUGUACACACCGCCCGUCGCUACUACCGAUUGAAUGGCUCGGCCCGUGCCCCCGCCC
rnacentral:rRNA from 1 species